UACGUAGGGUGCAAGCGUUGUCCGGAAUUAUUGGGCGUAAAGAGCGUGUAGGCGGCCCGACCAGUCCGCUGUGAAAGUCCAGGGCUCAACCCUGGAAUGCCGGUGGAUACUGUCGGGCUAGAGUCCGGAAUGGGCGAGUGGAAUUCCUGGUGUAGCGGUGAAAUGCGCAGAUAUCAGGAGGAACACCGGUGGCGAAGGCGGGUCUCUGGGCAGUAACUGACGCUGAGGAGCGAAAGCGUGGGGAGCGAACAGG
rnacentral:rRNA from 1 species